rfam:Populus trichocarpa isolate Nisqually-1 chromosome 19, whole genome shotgun sequence.
UAAUUUAUCUAGGGUAGAUCCUCAUCUAGCUAUGAUAAACUUGCACUUAACUACUUAGAAUAAUCCGUUAUCGCAAGUCCAACUACAUCAUUCUCCAUAGGUUGGAGGGAAUUCAUCCUCAAGUUUUGUUU